rnacentral:piRNA from 1 species
AACAGACUCUUACUUUAUUGGCACAGC